UGUUCAGGGAUCGGAAUCAAACCCACAGUGUUCCGCUUAACAGGCAGAUGCCAUGUCCACUAGGAUACUCUGGAC
rnacentral:tRNA from 1 species